rnacentral:tRNA from 1 species
UCGGUACGAAUAACUCGUACAACGGAUUAGCAAUCCGACGCUUUAGUCCACUCAGCCAUCUCUCC